AGCCAGUGUGGCACAGUGGCUGCAGUGUUGGAAUAGGACCUGGGAGACCAGGGUUCGAAUCCCUGCUCGGCCA